UACAGAGGGUGCGAGCGUUGUUCGGAAUUACUGGGCGUAAAGCGCGCGCAGGCGGCUCUUUAAGUCCGCGGGUGAAAUGCCGGGGCUCAACCCCGUGCCUGCCCGGGAUACUGGAGAGCUGGAGACACGUAGAGGCAAGCGGAAUUCCGGGUGUAGCGGUGGAAUGCGUAGGAGAUCCGGAAGAACACCGGAGGCGAAGGCGGCGUUGCUGGGCGUGAUCGUGACGCUGAGGCGCGAAAGCGUGGGGAGCGAAACAGG
rnacentral:rRNA from 1 species